rnacentral:siRNA from 1 species
GGAUGUUGCUGAACCUGGCUUAG